rnacentral:misc_RNA from 1 species
UCUUACACUCUCUCCAUCUCGUCAUUCACGGUGCCCCGCGCGUACACACGAAACCCACACAUUCGCUUGCCCGUAAAGCUUUCGGUAGACCGUCUCGCGCACGACGUGGCCACGCUGUCAUUCCUCGCCUGCGCGCCGUCUCUGCCUCUCCGUCUUCGACACCGAUCCCCUGCCUUCACUGCCCACUGUCAUGUGCGAUCAGCAGUCGACCGCGAAGGUGGACCUCGAGAUGCUCUUCCGCCCUGGGCGCAAGGGCGAGCUCAACGGCAAGAUCCUCGAUCGCGUCCGCUUCCUCGCUGCGGAGCUCGGCCUCCCCGAACUUGAGGAGAAGUUCGCACACUUGAAGGAGAGGGACGGGGCCUGGCGCACCAGCAGCGUUUCCGACAACGUCAACCUAUCCGCGUACAUCGAUCACACGCUACUCAAGGCGGACGCCUCUCACGCGGCCAUUGUGCAGCUGUGCGAGGAGGCAAAGACACAUCACUUCAAGGCCAUCUGCGUGAACGGCUGCCACGUGGCUCGGUGCGCGCAGCUGUUGGCCGGUUCGGAGGUGCGGUUGGGGUGCACCUGCGGCUUCCCGCUGGGCCAGAUGACGCCUUCCAUGAAGGUCGCCGAGGCGGCCGAGGGGAUCUCGAGCGGGGCACAUGAGGUGGACAUGGUCAUCAACGUCGGCGCCCUCAAGAGCAAGUGCUACCUCGACGUCUUCAAGGAUAUCAAGGGCGUCUGCGAUGUGUGCGCGAGCGCAGCUGUCGUGUCGAAGGUUAUUCUCGAAACCUGCCUCCUGUCUGAGGAGGAGAUCAUGGACGUGUGCAUCAUGAGUGUUGCGGCCGGCGCGACGUUCGUGAAGACCUCCACUGGCUUCAGCACGAAAGGCGCGACCCCAGAGGCAGUCGACAUCAUGCUAGCCGUUGUCGGCAAUGCGGCUUCCGUGAAGGUGAGCGGCGGCGUGCGGGACCGCGCAACGGCGAUGCAGUACGCUCAAGCCGGUGUGAAGCGCAUUGGCACGAGCUCUGGUAUCGCCAUCGUGUCGCCCUAGAGCAACAGGACGCCCCCCCCCCCUUCCCCGAAAACCACCAGCAUGCAGCGCGAGUCGGUCCCGCCCGCCCGCCCACCACCGGCACACGUUGAUGCGGCGGUAGGGGGGGGGGCUUUACCUGCUCCUUGGUGCAGCGGCACGCCAUGGCUGCGUCAUGUCACGUCUUCGCCAACGCAUAGGAAGGCGCGUACUUUCUCAAUCCACCUAACCAACCAAACAUUUUGUGUGCCGAUGGCAAUACGGCCGACACCGACGCCGUGAAGCGCACGGGCCACCGCAUCGACAGCGCCGAGGACCCUCUACACACGACGAGCGUUGCCUGCUUCCGUCUCGUGGUGCCGCACUGCCGCAGAUGACUGAGGCUUCAGUCAACGUCGUCUGCCGCGGCGGGCAUGCGCGACGUCGUCCUUGUCCCCACGGCAAACCGUCACGGAGGACGGUUAGGGCGAAACCGACGCGGGGAAGCUGCCGCAUCGGCCACCGUGCUCGCGAAGUUCGCCGGCCUCCACUGCGCCCCUGCCGAGGACGGCUUGGUCUUAUUUGAGGACCUCUAGGAAGCACUGGAACGUCCCGCAACUGCGGGACAGUCGAAAAGCAACACGAGUGCAUCGUCUUCACCUGCACUAUCCAAUUCUUCCCGGGCUGCGGCGGAUUAGUGGUGGCGUGCGCGAAGGCUCUUUAGCAGCAGUCUCGGCGCCUGCAGAGGCGGCCGUAGCGCUCCGACAGGGCAUGGCCAAGAGCGCCCAUCGUGAUCCGUCAUGCCGCAUUGCCGAGUACCAGGCAGACCAGGACCCCGAUCUGCAGGCGCUGGAGGUCACCCUUGCGGAGAUGCAGCAGCAGGUGCGGGUGAUGCCGGCCAGUCGUCAACCUUGAAUACCCGGACUCACGAUGCGCCACGCGACUGAGGAAGCAGCACCCCUCCCCCCGCUGCCACACUGCCGCACCCCACGGCGCACGCCAGCAACGGCGUUAGUGUACGUGGCAGCUUUGGUGGACAGCUAGAGGCCGAUGGCCGUGCCGCUGCUGCGGCUGGUGCUGCAGCCCCGACACCCGCGCACGGCGACAGCGCCAUGCAGACAGGCGUGUCGUUAAACUGGAUGCAGGCUUCGCUUCGGAAGGCCCGCGAAGUGCCGCGAUAGCCGGCGUGUCGGGAGGGGGAGGCGGGACUCGCUCGAGCCGAUGGUGAGAAAAAUUAAGCGGCCUUGCACUUGUCUCACAGACUGGCGAGCCCCCACCUUUGCCUAGGCGCCCUGCACCAUUGCGCCCGCGCGAGGGGGGCGGGGAGGAGGCACGGAGGGCCAGCGACACGUAUAGACGCACCGCUGCAUUACCCGUUCUGUCGAAGUUUUAUGUUUCCGUCCCUCUCAUCGGGCACGCGUCUCGCAUC